ensembl:snoRNA
AUCAGGGCUCAGUUUCCCCAAAUGUGAUGAUUGGAUUUUAGUGCACAUAUGUGAGAUAUGCCUCCCUCAGACCUUGUUAUGUCAUUGGCACAUUACCCAUCUGAUG